GCCGGGCAUGGUGGCGCACACCUGUAAUUCCAGUGGCUCAGGAGGCUGAGACAGGAGAAUCGCGAGUUCAAAGCCAGCCUCAGCAAAAGCAAGGCACUAAGCAACUCAGUGAGACCCUGUCUCCA
rnacentral:sRNA from 1 species